rnacentral:lncRNA from 1 species
CAAGCAUUUAUGACCUUGUAGCUAUAUCAUCAGAUUCUUAAUACAUACAUACUCUAGGUCAUCAGCAGAUUGUUUUCAUUUUCCUUUUGCUGGCUUUUAAAACUAUUGGACCAGGUCAUACAAAUUCCUACAGAGGACCUUUGAAAAAUCCUCAAGGCUUGACCUUUUCUGGGCACAGCCAUCUCCCCGGGUUAGUGUGUUCAAGUAGAGAAAUCAGGCUUGUUGCAAUCAUGCACAAUAAAGUAAUGCUCUCCCUGUUUUUUCAAAUGAAGGAGUUGUUGGCAGAUGUUGCCGGCUCCAUUUGUCUUUUUUGUAGUUUCAUGGUUCACUUUGCAGAUGGCCUUCAUGGAGGAUUUUAGUAAAGCGUUCCUGAACUUCAGAGUGUGGCCAGCGUUUGUCCUUCAGACGCAGGAAGGAGAGAGGGAGAGUACAUAUAAUUCAGAAAUAGGUUCACCUUUUGGUGAUCUAACUUUUAUUUUCCUUUACUAUUUACUUUGACUACGAUCAAUCAAUUAUUUCUUAACCUUUCCGUGGUUUGUAUCGUCAAGGGAGAAGGAAGUAUUAAGAGUGUGGACGAUCGGCCCUCCGUCAUUUGGAGCUUCCAACCCUUGGAUCAAACAGCCCAGGGAGAUGGUCUGUGGGUCAGCCGCAGUGCCUGAGCUGCCGAGCUGCUUCAGUCCUGGGCAUUGGCAUCUGCUGGAGGGUUGGAACCAUGUCUGUAGGGUCUCUGAGCCUGCCCCGAGCCUCUGAGCUGUGGGAACAACUUGUGCCAUUACGGAGCCUCACCUGCGUCCAAGUGGGAAGUCACCUGGCCAAUGACGAUGGAUCACAGCAGCACAAGGACCAUUUUGAGAUGGCGAUGGCACGAAGAGAAAGAAGGAAUAAAUCUCACGGGGACACUGUAGAUCUGUGCCUGUUCAUUCAGAGAAGAAGUGGAAGAAGAAGGAGAAAAGGAACGGAACGCUGCUGUACAUUAAUUGCACAAGAAAUGCAAAAUGGCCGAAAAUAGUGGCACAGCAUUUGUAAGGCUUUCUGGUUUUCAAAAAAUCAAAGGCAGAGGUAGAAAAACGAUCCAUCGGAUAUUUGUAGUUGCAAAGUGAGCGCUGGAACAAAACGAGCUGUGGCUGUUUCCCUGCUGCACAGCUCCCACCCGGUGCA